rnacentral:lncRNA from 1 species
GGGGAGAUAUUCAUCAGGGGGAGCAUGGUUUUAAUAAAGACCUUCAUACACUGUACUCUUUUUCCUUCAUCCAGGUUUUUAUCCCACUGGGUUUUUCCUGGUAAGGUUUUAACGAGGCAGUGUCGCUCAAAAUUGACUCACAGAAGCAGUGUCAACUACGAUAUUCAGAAAGGUGAUCAACAGCAUGACUUAAAGAUAUUUUACCAAGCAUCAGGGGGAGCGCGCUAUCAAUAAAGAUCUUCAAACACCG